rnacentral:misc_RNA from 1 species
UAGUGUUUUUUUUUCAUUCACGAAGCGGUGUGUGCGCGCGGCCAACAUGCGAUUCGGGGCGCGUUGCUGUUGCUGCCACGUCGGCAGUGAGCUCGCAAGGCCACCGAGCCUCCCCACUGCACCUGCCUGUGGCGGCGCACGUUUUGCCCCUCGUACGCAGCGUCGACACCAGACGUACGUGCCGAACAAAGGGUAUCGUCAACAACCCACUGUCCCGGAUCGCAUGAAAGAUGCAAUGUCUACCUUUGGCGUGGAUAUGCACAACGUGAGCGCCGACGAGGACCCCCCGUACGUCCAGGAGCAUCAGCGGCAGCGGAUGGUGCAGGACGUCAUGUCCAGUUCACAGAACCUGAAGAGCCUGUCCAAGAUGGACCGUCUGCGGUUGGCGCUCGAUCAGGUACGCAACGAACCCGCUGGGCAUGAGAAGUGGAACGAGGUGUACCUGUUCUUGCGCACGACGGAAAUGUGCACUGAGGUGUUGGCGAACGACUCGGACGUGUUUCCGAAAGGCAAGAAGCUCUGGAUCGAGAUGGAGCAGUGCGAGGAGAAGCGGGUGCCGGGGCUGAUGGUGCUGCCGAACGGGAUGCCGGUGCUGCCCAUCUUCACCAUGGAGGAGUACAUGGAUUCGUACUUCUCGCGCACAAACGUGUAUGAAUCGUGCUGGUUCCCUGUGCCGCGCAGCGGCACGCAAUGGGAGGAGUUCUGCAAGCUUCCUUUUCCUGCGUGUGUCACCGGCAGCAUUCAACACUUUAGCACCCUGGCGACGGUGGCCCUCGGCAGCCACCAACUCGGCAUCCUCGUCAAUCCGGGCAUGCGCUCCAGCAAGUUCAUCACCUACCCCGAGAUGGUCACUCUAACGCAGCAGAGACAGCAAAAGAGAAAAAACCGCCGACCGGCAGUGACGCCGGCUACCAGCGCAGAGGGCAGCACCGCUGCCGCUCCCACAGAAGAGCGUCUCUUUGACGAGAACUUGAUGAUGACCUUCGACACCAAUAAACUGCCAUUGAAACGCCUCGAGCCACAUGACCUCGCGGCCUGCAUGGCGCAGCGGCCGCCGAUUCCACCUGUUGCGGAGCUUGAGCUGCAUCUGCUGCUGCACGUGUAUGCCGAGAUCGAGGCUGUCUACAUCCGCACUGUUGAGCGACCGCGGUGGCGAAGAGUGUUAGGGGCCUCGGAGAAGAUGACGCAGAUCGACGUUGUCUGCAGCCCCCCACGCAAGCCGGACAAGAGCUUCUUUGGGCACCUGCAACAGUGGAGCUUCAUGAAAGAGUUCAACAGCGACGUACACGUGGAGCUGACGAGCCGGGCCCCGGCGCAGGAGGGCUCUACAGAUUCCUUCAUGCGAAUAUACUCGAACGAGGCUGAUGGUAAGCUACUACGGUCCAUGGCCACCUUCAAAGGACGCACUCUGGCCGACCAACUCGGCUUCAACGAGCCCAUCACAGACGGCCACGGCAACAAGCCGUACGAGCGCUACGUGAGCUACUUUUGAGAGGCGGGGAUGACAGCAGUGGGGAGGCGAGGAACAAAGACGUGCGAAGGCGCUGGCAGUAAAGAAAAGGGAGAGCGUGUUGAUCUCUUUUCCUUUGUUUCCCGUUUUCCUCCUCAUCGCAUCUCCGUUGCAGCCUUGGGCGAAAGUGCGAGAGGCGGAGAGGCAGAGCGUGGACUUGUGAGUUGGUCGAAGUGGCUUUUUUCUUGCUUUGGUUGCGUUGCAGGUGGGGAUUCUGACUGGCGGCGUGGAGCCGCUUGGCCACCGCUGUUUAGAUGAGGAGCAAAGAGCCGAA